GGGUAUAUACCCAAAUCGAUUAUAAAUCAGGGUGCUAUACAGACACAUGCACACGUAUGUUAAUCCGUGCACUAUUCACAAUCGCAAAGAGCUGGAACCAACCCAAAUGUCCAACAUUUGGGUCUUCCCUUUUUCUUAAUUAGUCUAGCUAAUGGUUUGUUGAUAUUUUUUAAACCUGCUUUUUGUUGUUAACCUUUUGUAAUUUUUGCCUCAAAUUUGUUUAUUUCUGUUUGGUCUUCAUUAUUUAUUUCCUUUUAA
rnacentral:lncRNA from 1 species